CCGAUUGUCCAUGGCAGUGUCCCCCGUGUGCCACCGAGCUCUGGGGACCGUCAGAGCAGCAGUUUCAAACUGCCCCCCAUUCAGGAUUCUCUCCGGAACAAGGCAUUUCUGCAGGGACUCGUCACCCUUCCCAACAAGCCCAGAGUGAGCCAGCUGCUGGGCAGGGGUGGACACAUCCCGAGGGGCUGCAAUGACCAGCUUCCUGUGCUGACCAGGACACUGGAUGAGCCAGGCCCUGCCACCUCUCGGGACCACCGGCCAGGCACUGCCCCCCGACACAUCUCCAGGGCACCAGGGCUCCUCCUGCCAGCCCAGCCCCGUCAGAUUUCGACAGCCCUCAAGUAGCCGGACAGGACUGGGAACCCAGUGCUCCACCAGAGACGUCUUCUCAGCAGACAGAGAAGUCUGCAACAAUUAUUGUCAGUUAAAUCA